GUGCUCGCUUCGGCAGCACAUAUACUGAAAUUGGAACGAUACAGAGGAAAUUAGCAUGGCCCCUGUGCAAGGAUGACAUGCAGAUUUGUGAAGUGUUCCAUAAAAAC
rnacentral:snRNA from 1 species